rnacentral:snRNA from 1 species
UAACUCUGGUGUCUCAUCAUUUGCGGAUAAAUCUUUCGCCUUUUACUAAAGAUUUCCGUGGGGAGGCACAAUUUGUGCGUCGGUGGCACAGUGGUUAGGACUCUCGCCGACUAUGCAUAUGGUCC